AAAUUGAAGAGUUUGAUCAUGGCUCAGAUUGAACGCUGGCGGCAGGCCUAACACAUGCAAGUCGAACGGUAACAGGAAGCAGCUUGCUGCUUCGCUGACGAGUGGCGGACGGGUGAGUAAUGUCUGGGAAACUGCCUGAUGGAGGGGGAUAACUACUGGAAACGGUGGCUAAUACCGCAUAACGUCGCAAGACCAAAGAGGGGGACCUUCGGGCCUCUUGCCAUCAGAUGUGCCCAGAUGGGAUUAGCUAGUUGGUGAGGUAACGGCUCACCAAGGCGACGAUCCCUAGCUGGUCUGAGAGGAUGACCAGCCACACUGGAACUGAGACACGGUCCAGACUCCUACGGGAGGCAGCAGUGGGGAAUAUUGCACAAUGGGCGCAAGCCUGAUGCAGCCAUGCCGCGUGUAUGAAGAAGGCCUUCGGGUUGUAAAGU
rnacentral:rRNA from 1 species